rnacentral:rRNA from 1 species
GUAGGGAAUAUUGCGCAAUGGGGGAAACCCUGACGCAGCGACGCCGCGUGAGUGAUGAAGGCCUUCGGGUCGUAAAGCUCUGUUGCAGGGGAAUAAAAAAAUGAAGGUACCCUGUGAGGAAGGAUCGGCUAACUUCGUGCCAGCAGCCGCGGUAAGACGAGGGAUCCUAGCGUUGCUCGGAAUCAUUGGGCAUAAAGAGGGCGUAGGUGGCUUGGUAAGUCAGGUGUGAAAGCCCAGGGCUCAACCCUGGAAGUGCAUUUGAUACUGCUGAGCUUGAGUGUCGGAGAGGUUACCGGAAUACCUGGUGUAGUGGUGAAAUACGUAGAUAUCAGGUGGAACACCGGAGGCGAAGGCGGGUAACUGGACGAACACUGACACUGAGGCCCGAAAGCGUGGGGAUCAAACAGGAUUAGAAACCCGGGUAGUCC